ensembl:snRNA U1 U1 spliceosomal RNA
ACACGCACUUGGCGGGGGAGAUACCACGAUCACAAAGGUGUUUUACCAGGGUGAGGCUUAUCCAUUGCUCUCAGGUUGUUCUGACCCUUGAAAUUUCUCCAAAUGUGGGAAACUGGAAUGUAUAAUUCAUGGUAGUGGGGGACUCCGUUUGUGCUUUCCUCUU